UGAUAACUAGUCUAACACAAGACAACUAAUUUCGACUUAGUUAAUCAUGAUUAAAUCCAUGGUUAUCCA
rnacentral:tRNA from 1 species